AAUGGCCCCCACCUGUGUCCGUAUCAGCACGCCUGGACCAGCUCAGAACAACGGCCCCCACCAAUGUCUCAGUCUCCAGAGAGGAUCCUCCUCUCACUAAGAUGCCCCCAGAGCCCACCAGAGAUCUUCCCCUGAGGCGUUCAAUGGAUUCAUCUGACAGAAGCGGAUAAACCUCCUCACCAGAGAAGUGGGGCACCUCAUGCCCAGGCUGCCAUCGCUUACCCGCGCGCUCCAGAAGCCGCAGAGGAAAGAGCAUCCUUCUUCCCAUCCCCAGAGAGCCAGGAGUGGGCUCAGGAUCCAAGCUCAGCUACAAAGAUGUUCAUGCCAAGAGUAGUCUAGGAAUCUCCGAUGACAGUGCUGCAGUGUCCCCACAGCAGAGAGAGUGCCCCACAGCACACGGCUGCAUCCUGGCUGGAUUGUCUCUUGUGAAGGUAGAUUUGCCAUUUUUCUUGAUUUUGGAACUUUAAGGUUGUCUUGGUUACUGUGUAUUUUGUAAGCUGGACUUUUCACCC
rnacentral:lncRNA from 1 species